rnacentral:rRNA from 1 species
ACGAGGACGAACGCUGGCGGCGUGCCUAACACAUGCAAGUCGAGCGAGGAGAUCCUUCGGGAUGAUCCUAGCGGCGGGCGGGUGAGUAACACGUGGGCAACCUGCCUCAUAGAGAGGAAUAGCCUUCCGAAAGGGAGAUUAAUACCUCAUAACAUUGCAGUUUCGCAUGGAACAGCAAUUAAAGGAGCAAUCCACUAUGAGAUGGGCCCGCGGCGCAUUAGCUAGUUGGUGAGGUAACGGCUCACCAAGGCGACGAUGCGUAGCCGACCUGAGAGGGUGAUCGGCCACAUUGGGACUGAGACACGGCCCAGACUCCUACGGGAGGCAGCAGUGGGGAAUAUUGCACAAUGGGGGAAACCCUGAUGCAGCAACGCCGCGUGAGUGAUGACGGCCUUCGGGUUGUAAAGCUCUGUCUUCAGGGACGAUAAUGACGGUACCUGAGGAGGAAGCCACGGCUAACUACGUGCCAGCCGCCGC